CGCCUCCUCCCUCGCUCGCCUCCGUGGUGCCCUAGCCGCUGCCUUCUUCCUCCCACGCCCAUGCCUCCCUCUCCUCUUCCUCUCCCCCUAGCGCCGCCCGCACCGGCGCCUCCCUCUCCUCCUCUCGCCCCUAGCGCCGGCACCACUGCCUCCUUCCCCGCCGCCACCCGGCCUCCUCCCCUCACGUUGCCCUCCAUCCACCCCUCCGGUCUGGCGCCGCCCAAACCCCAAUGCCGCGCCCCGGCCCUGGCUCCCACGGGAGGGAAGGAGGAAUUGCGAGGCGAAGCAAAGGCGGCAGCGUAUGGCACGCGGCGCGGGCGGUGUGGCCCAGGGCGUCGGCGCGGCCGCGGCUUCUCGUCGUCUCCGUCGUCGCCUCGGCGCCCAGCCGGCCGCCGCCGCACAUCAUGAGGUGGAAUGCCACCCAUUUCCCCGCCGUCCCCUCGGCCCAUGCUACCCCUAGCGCCACGGUCGCCAUGUCCCUGCCUUCUCCUCGACAGGAGGAAGAGCGAGGCCACAAACGGAUCUGGAGAUUGAAUCGGGCUCCAAUGGCUCCUGCGCGGCAUGAUGCCUGUUAAGGGUGGUUGCUAUCUCAGAUAUCUCCUCGUUCCUCUUCGUGUGCUGCUAGGAGCCUAUAUGUGAUGUGUACCUGUGUUGGUGCCUUUACAGAAGAUCCAUUAUGCCUUCCUCUCGGUGUGUGUUGUUGAGGCUAUCAAACAAGCCAAUGGCGUUGCAUAAAUGGUUUGUGAAGAUUGUCAUUGGAGUCUAGCUCGGGUAGUAGGCUGUCAAAAAGAUGUGGUCGCUUGUAGAACACCUUGAAGCUCCCAAAAUGCAAACACCAGGAGAUAGGGAUGUCAAACUGAAACAAAGAAGCCCAUGAUCGGUCUCAUAAUGUUACCAAUAGUACCGCCAUCAGCUGCAAAGAUGACAAGCUCAAGCAGGUCUGAUCCAGUGACAACAACAAUAGUGCAGGGUGCAUGAGCAGGCCUACAUAUUUCUCAAAAGAGCACGCCGUUGCCAACGACUGGAGAAGCGCCAGCCACCGAGUCGGACGUCCACUUCGCCAUUGCCGUCGUCCUCGCCCCGGCAGAAGCACGUUAUAUCCGUCCUUUCAUUUUUACUUUUUCUUAAAUGUAUUUAUUUGAAGGCGCACCUUUAGUUAUUAACCAAUACAUGUAUUGUUCAUGUCUUCUACUCCCUCUGUAAAGAAAUAUGUAUCUUAUAUUUGAAGGUGCAUCUUCUACUCUCUCUGUAAAGAAAUAUAAGAUAGGUAUAUAAGAUAGGUAUUUCUUUAUAGAGGGAGCACAUAGUUCUUCGAGCCCAAAAGUAUAACUAUGUAGAUGAAUUGUAUGAUGGGUUACAAACUUUACUUAUAAGACUACAUGAACUGCUAAUUGCUUCUUUUAAUAAAAGAUGAUCAACUCUAAUCUCGACCUGGUUUGUGUCAUGUUGGGAGGUGGAUGGGAGGCCAUUCCAAAGGAUUGUUUUGGCAGAAUCGACUGACUGCGCUAGCUGGGAUUUAAUGUAUAUAUGAUAUAGGCCUGCUACCAUGUCUUUUCUCGCUGGACAUGCUUUCCGAUGGCGACAGUGAGGACUUCUACCCCGCUCCUCUCCCAGCAAGGCAUCUCUACCUCCCUCAUGCAAAGAUACCCGAAGACCGUCUUGGACUCUUCCUUCUUCAGUGUUUCCUCUUUUUGUUACACAACUUUGUGGUGCUUAGUGCAUAUAUCAUCCCCUCCUAUCAAUUCAUUCUGAAAUAAAGAGAUGGAGGGUUGUUAGUGUUUAUGGGAAAUGGUUGCAUUUUAUAGAAAAAAUGUGUCUUUGUUGACCGGUUUUGCUCGAGAUAAAAAAGUCUUUCCUACUAUUGGUGUCAAACUCUUACUUUAGACUUCACAUGAUCUAAUCAGUGUUCUAUACAUAACAUCACUUUUUUGUUUUGGCUAAUCUCUUUGUUUUCUAUAGACAUGUGUUGUCCCAAUCUGCUAAUUUUAUAUUCAGAGGUAGCAUUGAUGUAGUUGCAUCAUUCAAAAGGCCAUAUGUGUUGCUUUUGUUCUACUUCUCUUCCAUAUCCAGUUAUUUAGAAAUAGCUAUGGUAACCUUUUAGCACUUAAAUAGGAUUAGGUAUAAUGUGAAUCAUUUGCUUCAUUUGGUUGACAAAUUAUAGCUUUAGCUCUCAGGUACUGAAUGUUGGAUUGAUCCAUUUUGUUCUUUUGCGCCUGCUGCUCCUUGCUGAUUCCUGUCGUGCUGCUGCUCGCUUGGUGUGUCGGAUUGGGGGCCGUGGAUUCAAUGGCAUCGGUGUGUCGCGUGGUUUGUUAAGGUCCUCUAUUCUAGCAGUCUGUGCGCCGGAUCUGUUGUUGUGAACCUCGAUCUAUACGUGCUGGUUGGUCUGCUGGGAGUGCUCGUGGCUUUGGUCGAUUUGUCCUGAUGUGUCUUCAGUCGCCGCUCUGCAGGACCCAAUUGCUAGAUAUAUUAUUCGGAGCUCUCUAAAGUUGAAAGGUUCUGAUGCUGAAAUGGUUAUGUGAAAUUGGUUUUAGUUAAUGUUUCUUGUGUACUGUGGAUACUAAGGGGCAAUGGGCACAACUACAAAACUCAGAGCAGCGAAACCCACAUAUACUACCUGAAGAAGAGCUCUCUGUUCUCCUUUAGUUAUCACCUUUUAUCAUUCUUUUACUACUUACAAUAGUGUUGGGACCGGCACCCUUGCGCCAAGGCGCGAUCCCGAUCUAGUCGGAGUAGAGUGGGGUGUGGAGUAGGAGGAUUACAAGCGGAGUACGAGAUGGGGUGAACAUGGACAACAUGCAAGCUAGUCGACAUCUUUCUGGAUUAAUAUACUCUGUUUGGAGAAGUCAAGAGAAAAGGAAACCCGAGAAGUCCUGAAGACAUCUUUAGCAAACAAUAUGUUGAGUACGCAAUAUAUUACAUAGUUCAUUUAUGUGUUUUAUCCUUAUAGUAGUUUCAGGCAUAGGUCACACAGAAUACUAUUUGUAAUGCCGAAACCCUAAAAAAUACAAGAGUAAAUGGCCGAGUAAACCGUAGUGGAGUAUUUUUACGCCACUAAGUUUUGAUCGGUUCUAGACGACCCCCUAAAUUUAGCGGAGUA